rnacentral:rRNA from 1 species
AUACGGAGGGUGCAAGCGUUACUCGGAAUCACUGGGCGUAAAGCGCGCGCAGGCGGGCUGAUAAGUCGGAUGUGAAAGCCUACGGCUCAACCGUAGAACUGCAUCCAAAACUGUCAGUCUAGAGUCUGGGAGGGGAAGAUGGAAUUAGUUGUGUAGGGGUAAAAUCCGUAGAGAUAACUAGGAAUACCAAAAGCGAAGGCGAUCUUCUGGAACAGUACUGACGCUGAGGCGCGAAAGCGUGGGGAGCAAACAGGAUUAGAAACCCUAGUAGUCC